rnacentral:rRNA from 1 species
CCUACGGGAGGCAGCAGUGAGGAAUAUUGGUCAAUGGGCGCGAGCCUGAACCAGCCAAGUAGCGUGAAGGAUGACUGCCCUACGGGUUGUAAACUUCUUUUAUAAAGGAAUAAAGUUAUGCACGUGUGCCUUUUUGUAUGUACUUUAUGAAUAAGGAUCGGCUAACUCCGUGCCAGCAGCCGCGGUAAUACGGAGGAUCCGAGCGUUAUCCGGAUUUAUUGGGUUUAAAGGGAGCGUAGAUGGGUUGUUAAGUCAGUUGUGAAAGUUUGUGGCUCAACCGUAAAAUUGCAGUUGAUACUGGAAGUCUUGAGUACAGUUGAGGUAGGCGGAAUGCGUGGUGUAGCGGUGAAAUGCUUAGAUAUCACGCAGAACUCCGAUUGCGAAGGCAGCUUACUAAGCUACAACUGACACUGAUGCUCGAAAGUGUGGGUAUCAAACAGGAUUAGAUACCCUUGUAGUC